AACGCUAGCUACAGGCUUAACACAUGCAAGUCGAGGGGCAGCAUGAACUUAGCUUGCUAAGUUUGAUGGCGACCGGCGCACGGGUGAGUAACGCGUAUCCAACCUUCCGUACACUCAGGGAUAGCCUUUCGAAAGAAAGAUUAAUACCUGAUGGUAUGAUGAGAUUGCAUGGUAACAUCAUUAAAGAUUUAUCGGUGUACGAUGGGGAUGCGUUCCAUUAGAUAGUAGGCGGGGUAACGGCCCACCUAGUCGACGAUGGAUAGGGGUUCUGAGAGGAAGGUCCCCCACAUUGGAACUGAGACACGGUCCAAACUCCUACGGGAGGCAGCAGUGAGGAAUAUUGGUCAAUGGGCGCGAGCCUGAACCAGCCAAGUAGCGUGAAGGAUGAAGGUCCUACGGAUUGUAAACUUCUUUUAUAAGGGAAUAAAACCUCCCACGUGUGGGAGCUUGUAUGUACCUUAUGAAUAAGCAUCGGCUAACUCCGUGCCAGCAGCCGCGGUAAUACGGAGGAUGCGAGCGUUAUCCGGAUUUAUUGGGUUUAAAGGGAGCGCAGACGGGUCGUUAAGUCAGCUGUGAAAGUUUGGGGCUCAACCUUAAAAUUGCAGUUGAUACUGGCGUCCUUGAGUGCGGUUGAGGUGUGCGGAAUUCGUGGUGUAGCGGUGAAAUGCUUAGAUAUCACGAAGAACUCCGAUUG
rnacentral:rRNA from 1 species